UGAUGAAGAACACAGUGAAAUGUGAUAAGUAAUGUGAAUCGCAGAAUUCAGUGAAUCAUCAAAUUUUUGAACGCACCUUGCACCUUUUGGUAUUCCAAAAGGUACACCUGUUUGAGUGUCAUUUAACGAAAGUCAUUAAUUAACUUUUUGAUUAAAGUUUCUUGAUGGAUGUUGAGUGUUGCUGUGAUUAUUACGGCUCACUUUAAAUUCAUAAGCUCUUAUCACUUGAUUUGGACUGACUUGAUGUGAUAUAUAUCAACUUCAUCAAGGAAUGUAUGUAUUUACAGCCAAUCAUUUUCUGGUAAGUAGGCUUCCAAAAUCUUUCACAGGUACCCCUUGUGGAAAGAUUACCCCCUAUGUAAGACCUCAAAUCAGGUGGAAUUACCCGCUGAACUUAAGCAUAUCAAUAAGCGGAGGAAAAGAAACUAACAAGGAUUCCCU
rnacentral:rRNA from 1 species